rnacentral:lncRNA from 1 species
GCUACUCGGGAGGCUGAGGCAAGAGAAUCACUUGAACCUGGGAGGUGGAGGUUGCAGUGAGCCGAGAUCGCCCUACUGCACGCCAGCCUGGCAACAGAGUGAGACUCCAUCCCAAACAAAGAAACAUUAUGGCCCAUCAAUAGAAGACUCAGUAAAUAAAUUACAGUACACACAUACACUGAAAUAAUAGGUUGACAUUUAUUGUGUCCUUACAUUUACCCCACACACUGUUCUAAAUGACUUUCAUUGAUUUACUCUCACCAUAAUAGUAUAAGAAAGGUGAAACUAUGAUCCUUAUUUUACAAAAAGCAUAUAUAGUAGAUCCAUUGAUACAGCCUCCUUACUUUUUUUUUUUUUUGCUGAGAUGGAGUCUUGCUGUGUUGCUCAGGCCGGAGUACAGUAGUGCGGUCUCAGCUUACUGCAACUUCCGCCUCCUGGGUUCAAGCAAUUCUCUGCCUCAGACUCCCGAGUAGUUGGGAUUACAGGCGCCUGCCACUACGCCCAGCUAAUUUUUGUAUUUUUAGUAGAGAUGGGUUUUCACCAUGUUGGCCAGACUGGUCGUGAACUCCUGACCUCGUCAUCCAUCCACCUCGGCCUCCCAAAGUGCUGGGACUACAGGCGUGAGCCACCACACCCAGCUGUUUUUCUUUUGUUUGAGAUGGAGUCUCGCUCUGUUACCCAGGCUGGAGUGCAGUGGCACAAUCUCGGCUCACUGCAACUUCCACUUCCCUGGCUCAGGUGAUUCUUGUGCCUCAGCCUCUCAAGUAGCUGGGAUUACAGGCGUGAACCACCGCGCCUGGCCCCUCCUUGCUUUUUAUUUUUUUUGAGGCAGAGUGUCACUCUGUCACCUCAGCUGGAGUGCAAUGGCACGAUCUCAGCCCACUGCAUCCUCUGCCCCCUCGUUUCAAGCAAUUCUCCUGCCUCAGCCUCUCGAGUAGCUGGGAUUACAGGUGUGCACCACCACAUCUGGCUAAUUUUUUUUAUUAUUAUUAUACUUUAAGUUCUAGGGUACAUGUGCACAAUGUGCAGGUUUGUUACAUAUGUAUACAUGUGUCAUAUUGGUGUGCUGCACCCAUUAACUCGUCAUUUACAUUAGGUAUAUCUCCUAAUGCUAUCCCUCCCCAUGACCAGCCCCGCUGUUUGAUGUUCCCCACCCUGUGUCCAAGUGUUCUCAUUGUUCAAUUCCCACCUAUGAGUGAGAACAUUCGGUGUUUGGUUUCCUAUCCUUGCGAUAGUUUGCUGAGAAUGAUGGUUUCCAGCUUCAUCCAUGUCCCUACAAAGGACAUGAACUCAUCCUUUUUUAUGGCUGCAUAGUAUUCCAUGGUGUAUAUGUGCCACAUUUUCUUAAUCCAGUCUAUCACUAAUGGACAUUUGGGUUGGUUCCAAGUCUUUGCUAUUGUGAAUAGUGCCGCAAUAAACAUAUGUGUGCACGUGUCUUUAUAGUAGCAUGAUUCAUAAUCCUUUGGGUAUAUACCCAGUAAUGGGAUCGCUGGGUCAAAUCAUAUUUCUAGUUCUAGAUCCUUGAGGAAUUGCCACACUGUCUUCCACAAUGGUUGAACUAGUUUAUACUCCCACCAACAGUGUAAAAGAGUUCCUAUUUCUCCACAUCCUCUCCAGCAUCUGUUGUUUCCUGACUUUUUAAUGAUCGCCAUUCUAACUGGUGUGAGAUGGUAUCUCAUUGUGGUUUUGAUUUGCAUUUCUCUGAUGGCCAGUGGUGAUGAGCAUUUUUUCAUGUGUCUGUUGGCUGCAUAAAUGUCUUCUUUUGAGAAGCGUCUGUUCAUAUCCUUCACCCACUUUUUGAUGGGGUUGUUUGAUUUUUUCUUGUAAAUUUGUUUAAGUUCUUUGUAGAUUCCGAAUAUUAGCCCUUUGUCAGAUGGGUAGAUUGCAAAAAUUUUCUCCCAUUCUGUAAGUUGCCUGUUCACUCUGAUGGUAGUUUCUUUUGCUGUGCAGAAGUUCUUUAGUUUAAUUAAAUCCCAUUUGUCUAUUUUGGGCUUUUGUUGCCACUGCUUUUGGUGUUUUAGUCAUGAAGUCCUUGCCCACGCCUAUGUCCUGAAUGGUAUUGCCUAGGUUUUCUUCUAGGGUUUUUAUGGUUUUAGGUCUAACAUUUAAGUCUUUAAUCCAUCUUGAAUUAAUUUUUGUAUAAGGUGUAAGGAAGGGAUGCAGUUUCAGCUUUCUACAUAUAUAUCCGGCUAAUUUUUGUAUUUUUAGUAGAGACAGGCUUUCGCCAUGUUGACCAGGCUGGUCUCGAACUCCUAACCUCAGGUGAUCUGCCCGCCUUGGCCUCCCAAAGUGCUGGGAUUACAGGCGUGAGCCACCGCGCCCGGCCCAAAACAGACGUUUUGUUUUGUUUUUCUGAGAGAGAGUCUCAAUCUAUCACCCGGGCUGGAGUGCAGUGAUGCGAUCUCAGCUCACUGCAACCUCCGCCUCCUGGGUUCAAGCAAUUCUCAUGCCUCAGCCUCCUGAGUAGCUGGGAUUACAGGCGCCCACCACCAUGCCCAGCUAAUUUUUGUAUUUUUAGUAGAGAUGGGGUUUCACCAUAUUGUCCAGGCUGGUCUUGAACACCUGACCUCAGAUGAUACACCCACUUCAGCCUCUCCAAGUGCUGGGAUUACAUGCGUGAGCCACCACACCCAGCCCAGAACAGACAUUUUAUAAAAUAAGACAUUUAAAUCUCAACAGGCAUAUAAAAAGAUGCUUAACUUCACUGAUCAUCAGAGAAAUGCAAAUCGAAACUACAAUGAGGCCAGGCAUGGUGGCUCAUGCCUUUAAUCUCAGCACUUUGGGAGGCCGAGGCAGGUGGAUCACUUGAGGUCAGGAGUUCAAGACCAGCCUGGCCAACAUGGUGAAACCUCGUCUCUACUAAAAAUACAAAUAUUAGCAGGGCACAGUGGUGCACACCUGUAAUCCCAGCUACUCAGGAGGAUGAAACAGGAGAAUCGCUUGAACCCGGGAGGCGGAUUGCGCCACUGCACUCCAGCCUGGGCAACAGAGUGAGACUCUAUCUCAAAAUAAAUAAAUAAAUAAAAUAAAAUAAAAUUACAAUGAGAUACCAUCUCACCCCAGUUAAAAUGGUUUUUAUCCAAAAGACAGGCAAUAACAAAUGCUGGCAAGGAUGUGGAGAAUAGGGAACCCUCAUACACUUUUGGUGGGAAUAUAAAUUAGUACAACCACUAUGGAGAACAAUUUGGAGGUUCCUAAAGAAAACCUAAAAAUAUAGCCAGGUGAGGUGGCUCAUGCCUGGAGGCUAAGGCAGGAAGAUCACUUGAGUCCAAGAUUCCAGGAGUUUGAGUCCAGGCUGGGCAACACAGUGAGACCUCAUCUGUACAAAAUAUAAAGAAAAUCAGCUAGGAGUAGUGAUGCACACCUGUAGUCCCAGGUACUUGGGAGGCUGAGGUGUGAGGAUCACUUGAGCCUGGGAAAUAAAGGCUGCAGUGAACUGUGAUUACACCACUGCACUCCAGCCUGGGCAAGAGAGUCAGACCUUGUUGAAAAGGGAGGAGAGGGGAGGGGAAGGGAAGGGAGGGAAGGUGUAGGGGAAAAGAGGGGUGAGGGGAGGAGGGGGGAAGGAAGGGGAGGGGAAGAAAAGGGGAAGGGAGGAAAAGGGGAGGGGAGGGAAGGAAAGGGGAGGGGAGGGGGGAGAGGAGGAAAAGGGGAGGGAGGAGGGGAAGGAAGGGGAGGGGAAGAGAGGGGAGUGGGAGGGGAGGGGAGAGGGAGGGGAGGAAAGAAAAGAAAAAGCCAAAAAUAAAGCUACCAAUCCCCCUCCUAGGUAUAUACCCCAAAGAAAGGAAAUCAGUAUGUUGAAGAGACAUCUGCACUCCCAUGUUUACUGCUGCACUAUUCACAAUAGCUAAAAUUUGGAAGCAGCCUAAGUGUUCAUCAACAUAUAAAUGGAUAAAGAAAAUGUGGCACAGAUACACAAUGGAGAACUAUUAAGUCAUAAAAAAGAAUGAGGCCGGGUACAGUGACUCACGCCUGUAAUUUCAGCACUUUGGGAGGCCGAGGGGCAGAUCACUUGAGGCCAGGGGUUGAAGACCAGCCUAGCCAACAUGAUGAAUCCCUGUCUCUGUUUAAAAAAAUACUAAAAAUACAAAAAUUAACCGGGUGUGGUGGCGCAUACCUGUAAUCCCAGCUACUUGGGAGGCUGAGGCAUGAGAAUCGCUUGAACCUGGGAGGCAGAGGUUGCAGUGAGCCAAGAUUGUGCCACUGCACUCCAGACUGGGUGACAGAGUGAGACUCUGUCUCAAAAAAAAAAAAAAAAAAAAAGAGAGAGAGGGAUCCUGUCAUUUGCAACAACAUGGAUGGAACUGAAGGUCAUUAUGUUAAGUGAAAUAAGCCAGGCACAGAAAGACAAACUUCCCAUGUUCUCACUUAUUUUGUAGGAGCUAAAAAUUAAAAUAAUUGAACUCAUGGAGAUAAAGAGUAGAAGGAUGGUAACCAGAGGAUGGGAAGGGUAGUGGGGGGUGAGGGAGAAGUGGGGAUGGUUAAUGGGUACAGAAAAAUAGAAAGAAUGAAUAAGAGCCAGGUGCAAUGGCUCAUGCCUAUAAUCCUUGCACUUUGGGAGGCCAAGGCAAGUGGAUGGCUUGAGCUCAGGAAUUUGAGACCAGCCUAGGCAACAUGGCAAGACUCUGUCUCUACUAAAAAUACAAAAAAGAUCACUUGAGCCUGGGAGGCAGGGGUUGCAGUGAGCUGAGAUCACGCCACUGCACUCCAGCCUGGGUGACAGAGUGAGACCCUGUCUCAAAUUAGAAAAAAAAAAAAGAAUGAGUAAGGUGUAUUUGCUAGCACAACAGGGUGACUAUAGUACAAAAUAAUUUAAUUGUACAUUUCAAAAUAAUUAAGAAUAUAAUUGGAUUGUUUGUAACACAAAGGAUAAAUGCCUGGGAUGGAUACCCCAUUUACCUUGAUGUGAUUAUUAUGCGUUGCAUGCCUGUAUGAAAAUAUCUCAUGUGACCCAUAAAUAUAUACAUCUACUAUGUGAUGUACCCACAAAAAAGAAAAAGAGAAAGAAAAAAAAUAGCAUAAGUUUCAGGUCUCUGUCUAGAAAGCUUAUCCUCCCCUCCCAGCACCUUCUUCACCAGACAUAUCUGAUUCAUCCUUAAGGUCUCAGCUCAAAAGUCACUUCCCCAGCAAGAUCUUCCUUGAUUACUCUCUAAACUGAACUGCACUUUCUGAGACUCAUAGCACCCUUUUAUUCGUCAGAGAGCUGAUCACAAUUUGUAAUUAUGCACUUGUUUCUACAUUCAUUGGCCUAGUGUUUGUGUGCCUUACUAGAUUGUAAGCUUCAGGAUGGCAGGAACCACAUCUGUCCUGUUGGCCCCUGAACUCCCAGCACCUAGAACCUAGAACAUAGUAGGCAAUCCCUUGAUAAAUGUGUUGAAUGACUGAAUCAAGGAAGAUGGCCACUUUAUCUAUGAGACAUAUCUUACCAUUUUCCCCUCUCUUUUGUUGUAUUUAUUUGGGUUUAAGAAUAGACAUACUUCCAAUGCUGGAGUUGGAAUUUUAUAACCUUCUCCACCAAACAUUUUUAUUUCUAAAAUCCAAAGCUCCUCUCAAACAUUGCUCCAAAAUUUCUACUGCCUAUAAAAGAGACUUGUGUUGUGCUAUAAAGAUGAUAUGAGGCUGGCUUGAAGGACCUAUUUCAGAGUGCCCCUUACAUUUUUUUUUUUUCUUUUUGAGACGGAGUCUUGCUAUGUCGCCCAGGCUGGAGUGCAGUGGCCUGAUCUCAGCUCACCGCAAGCUCUGCCUCCCAGGUUCACGCCAUUCUCCUGCCUCAACCUCCCGAGUAGCUGGGACUACAGGCGCCCGCUACCACGCCUGGCCAAUUUUUUGUAUUUUUAGUAGAGAUGGGUUUUCACCGUGUUAGCCAGGAUGGUCUCGAUCUCCUGACCUCGUGAUCCGCCCGCCUCGGCCUCCCAGAGUGCUGGGAUUACAGGCAUAAGCCACCGCGCCUGGCCUCCACCUGGUCAUAUUUCUUUAGAGAUUAUCAAACUACCUCUUGCCACCUGUUUUAAAGAUGGUUGUGUUGGCUGGGCAUGGUGGCUCAUAACUCAAGAUGGGCCAAUCACAUUCUCCUCCCACCUCAGCUCCCAAGUAGCUGGGACUACAGCCAGCACGCCUGGCUAUUUUUGUAUUUUUUGUAGAGACGGGGUUUCGCCAUGUAGCCCGGGCUGGUCUUGAACUCCUGGGCUCAAGUGAUCCACCCAUCUUGGCUUCCUAGAGUGUGGGAUUACAGACGUGAGCCAUCACACGGUCCCUAACUGAUACUAUUGCCAUGGCCUACCUUGCUUGCCUUGGCAGGAGGGCCAGCUUGGCAUGAGUUAGCAAAGAACCACUAUUUGAGAUCACCUAUUUUAUCUCAAGUACUGCUGGAACCCAUGCACCUAGAAAAGACCAGGGUUUUCAACCAGUAGAUCCAGAAUAAGCAGUCUUAUUGAAUCAAAGGAUAUAUCAGCCAAAAUAAUCAACAAGCACAACUUGAUAUUUUUUAAUGGUAGCUUGAAGGACCUAUCUCAGAGUGCCCCUUACAUUUUUAACUAAGAAGCCAGUAUUAUCUAUUGAUCACUGAAUAGCAGUGUGUCCCCUGGUCGUAUUUCUCUCACUCUCUCUGUCUUUUUUUGUUGUUACAAAAACUGCCAGCUCUCACAGUGAUUUUACCACACCUAUGUAUUUACAAUCUUUUUUUUUUUUUAUUUUUUAUUUUUAUUUUUUUUAGACUGAGUCUCACUCUGUCGCCCAGGCUGGAGUGCAAUGGCGUGAUCUCGGCUCACUGCAACCUCUGUCUCCUGGGUUCAAGCGAUUCUCCUGCCUUAGCCUCCUGAGUAGCUGGGACUACAGGCGUGUGCCACCACACUCAGCUAAUUUUUUGUAUUUUUAGUAGAGACGGGGUUUCACCAUGUUAACCAAGAUGCUCUUGAUCUCCUGACCUUGUGCUCCUCCCGCCUUGGUCUCCCAAAGUGCUGGGAUUACAGGCGUGAGCCACCGCGCCCGGCCUACAGUCUGAGAAAAGUCAUGCUGAGUUCCAGUGGCUGCACUGGAAGAGUUUGUGUCACCCUAAUCCACUUGUGUUUGGCAGUGAUUUAUCCACAUUUGCUAUUUCUCCACUUGGUCAUUUCUCAUUAAUGUCUAAACCUACUGAAACCUGACUUCUGUUCCUGCCACUUCAAGUCCUCUCAAAGGACUACUGGUCUCCUGUUUUCCAAAUCUGAGGGACAUUUCCCCAGCUUUUUCUUACCUGACUUCAGCUGCCAUCUAUGUGCUGAUACCUCCAGACCUGUAUCUAUCUACUUGCCAUUCAUCUCCAGUCACCUUAAUACUCAGCAUGUCCCAAACUGAACUCAAUACCUUUCCUCCUCAAUCCCCCUCAACUGUGCUUUUCCUGGGAUCCUUGUCCUUGUUAGUGGCACUCAGUCACCCAUAUUAGGAAUCUAGGAAUCAUCACAAUGAUGAUUCCAUUUCUUAUAUUUCACAGCUAGUGAGUCACCAUGUCCUUUAAUUCCCACCUCUCUCUUCAUUUCCUCUACAACCUUAAUUCAGGCCUUCAUCAUCUCUCUCAUAGGGUACUGCCAGAUCCUCCUACCUAGUUUCCCUGCCACUAGUCUUUUCCCCUUUGAAUCCAUCCCUGCCAUAGCAGAGUGAUCCUUUCUAAAAAUAUAGGUUUGAUCAUGUUACUUCAAGGAUGUACCAUUGACUGCAAGAUACAUGUGAAGCUUCUCAUCCUGCCAUGCAAGUUCAUUCAUGACCUGACCUUAGUAUAUCUCUCCAGCCUCAUAAAUUACCUUGCCUCCUUUGCUGCCUACUUUUCAGUGAUGCUGUUUUACAGUUCUGUGUAUAAAUGCAUCUGUUUCAUACUUUUCCCCUACACCAUCCCCGCUCACUCUGACUUCAUUCACCUGGUGGAUAUACCUAUUCGUCUUUGAAGGACUCCAUUCAAAAGACACCUGUUUGAACAUUUUCCUCUGCAGGUAGAGUAGCCAUUCUUUGUGCCCUCCCCAUCCAUACAGCCAGCUCUCACAGUGAUUAUAAUAUUUUAUCACACUUAUGUAUUUACAUAUAUAUUUCCCAAACUCAGGGAAUAGUCCACAGACUACCGUUACUUUGGAUACCAGUUGCAAGUUUGGGGAACCCUAAGACUACCCUCUGGUUAUAUAAUUCGCCACAAGGACUCACAGACCUCAUUGAAAGCUGUUAUAGUCUCUGGGCGCAGUGGCUCACCCCUGUAAUCCCAGCUACUCAGGAGGGUGAGGCAGGAGAAUCGUCUGAACUGGGGAGGCGGAGGUUGCAGUGAGCCGAGACUGUGCCACUGCACUCCAGCCUGGGCAACACAGCAAGACUCUAUCCCAAAAUAAAAAAAAAAAAAUCAAGUUGUGAUUGUUGAUAAUUUUGGCUGAUAUAUCCUUUGAUUCAUGCAGCUGUCCCCAGAGUGUGUGUGCCUGUAGUGCCUGUGUGCGCCCUUUGGGGAAGUAGUCCUUCCAGACCUGAUUAUUUCUGAACAGAGUAUGGCCAAGUCACUAUUGACACUAGCAUGCAUAGCUUCUGAACUGAUAUGGUUGGCUGCUGAUAGCACAGACUAGAGCACUCAGAAAAUUAUCAAACAGAGACUAAAUGUUUAGGCACUUAAAACAUGCUCCUUGGCAAGAGGAACACAAUGUUCCUAUUACAGAAUUGACCUAAAUUCAGGAAAGAGCUUAUUGAUGUAGGCAAAUGCUUGAAUCUGCAGCCAGCAGGAUCAUCAAUGGAUGAGGGUGGGAGCGGGGAGUCUUCCAAUUUUACAAGGUCAGCUUGAGCAACUCUCUAAGAGCCGACACUAAGACUAGUUCCACUGGAUGUACUGAAGUUGUAUAAUCAGGCUCCAAAUAACUACUACCUCUGCCCAAAUCUGUUCCCAGAACUAAUCAACAUGCAGGGACCACUGCAUGUCAGACAAGAGCUGACCUGGAUCCCUGUGAAAAUCUGUCCACAGGACACUAGUGCUGCUGGAGGGAAUGGUGAAGUACUUGUAUCCAUGACAGAGUCCUAGAAAGAUGGGAAGCAAUAUGGGAGCUGACUGAAGCCACAGGAAGUGGGAUCCAUUUCCUGAAUACAAAGCAGAAACUAAUUAGUCAGUUUCCAACACAAUCUUCCAUUCUCACAGCUGCCAAAGACCUCCAGUUCACAAAUCUCAAGAGACCUUGCCUGCUCAAAGUUCUUUCUUAGCUCCUUUCAUCCAUGACACAAAAUCUAAAACCUGCUAUCUCUCUCCAGCCUCUUCUCCCAAACUGUCCUGGUGGGCUUCUUUUCUCACAGGAGUGUGAGCUCCUCAAGGGCAGGGACUAAGUACUGUCCACCUCCAUAACCCCUCUACUUGGCAGGGGCCUAGGACAAGCUUAUCUCCUGGUAGGCACAAAUGUUUGCUGAAGGAGUGAAUGAACUACAUUUGCAUUUUAUCUCUGGCAAUGUCUAAACCAAAGAAAAUCACACUUGUCUUCUCAGAAGAGGGAACAUAUUCAAAUACCCAGAAUUGCAGUUCCUGGUAAAACCUUUCGGCGGCAGCAGCAACUGGAAACUCAGCAGAAUCUUUGAGUACUAAAAAGAGUGAAAUGGGCCAAGACUUGAACAGCCAUGGUUGAAGUAGCCCAGGGGACUGAGAUGGGAAGGGGAGAUUCAUGGCUAUCUAAAGCUUAAGAACCACAAACCAGUUCUUUCUUACAAAUCACAUAUAUUUACAUUGUGGAUCUGGGAUACACUUAUCACAGUAGG